rnacentral:rRNA from 1 species
GACGAACCGUGCGAACGUUAUUCGGAAUCACUGGGCUUAAAGCGCGUGUAGGCGGGACGGCACGUCGGUCGCUGAAAGCCCCCGGCUCAACCGGGGAACGGGCGCCGAUACGACCGUCCUGGAGGAACGUAGGGGGACCUGGAACUUCCGGUGGAGCGGUGAAAUGCGUUGAGAUCGGAAGGAACGCCCGUGGCGAAAGCGAGGUCCUGGACGUUUACUGACACUGAGAGACGAAAGCUAGGGGAGCGAAUGGG